ACUACAUGAAGCUGGAAUCGCUAGUAAUCGCGGAUCAGAAUGCCGCGGUGAAUACGUUCCCGGGUCUUGUACACACCGCCCGUCACACCAUGGGAGUCGAUAACGCCCGAAGUCAGUGACCCAACCGUUAAGGAGGGAGCUGCCGAAGGCGGGAUUGAUAACUGGGGUGAAGUCGUAACAAGGUAAC
rnacentral:rRNA from 1 species